UACGUAGGUGGCAAGCGUUGUCCGGAAUUAUUGGGCGUAAAGCGCGCGCAGGCGGCCUCCUAAGUCCGAUGUGAAAGCCCACGGCUCAACCGUGGAGGGUCAUUGGAAACUGGGGAACUUGAGUGCAGAAGAGGAAAGUGGAAUUCCAAGUGUAGCGGUGAAAUGCGUAGAGAUUUGGAGGAACACCAGUGGCGAAGGCGACUUUCUGGUCUGUAACUGACACUGAGGCGCGAAAGCGUGGGGAGCAAACAGG
rnacentral:rRNA from 1 species